rnacentral:lncRNA from 1 species
UAUGAAGCCAAGACUGCUGGUGUCUUAAUUUCUGUGGACUUAAAAGAAUCGUUAUGAUGAGGAUAUGAUUGUAACGAAGUGUAUUGCAUCAUCACAUCUAUUAAAUGAAGCUGCAUCUACCAAUUAGUGGGAAUGUCACCACUACCUUCCAGACAUCUAGAAGCCAAACACAGCUAAUGAGAUAAAGGUUACAGAAAUCCUCCAGCUUGUGGCUUCCUUCACAAGUGUUGGCUCCACGAGGGCCAGGACUUUGGCUCUUUCUUCCUGUAUGUCUAAGUCUUAGAAGGAUGUUGGCCACAUAAUGGUAUUCAUUUGACUAAAC